GGGUCAGUAACGGCGAGUGAA
rnacentral:misc_RNA from 1 species